AUUGAACGCUGGCGGAAUGCUUUACACAUGCAAGUCGAGCGGCAGCGCGGGAGGGGUAACCUGACUGGCGGCGAGCGGCGAACGGGUGAGUAAUGCAUCGGAACGUACCCAGUCGUGGGGGAUAACGUGGCGAAAGUCACGCUAAUACCGCAUACGUCCUGAGGGAGAAAGCAGGGGAUCGCAAGACCUUGCGCGAUUGGAGCGGCCGAUGUCUGAUUAGCUAGUUGGUAGGGUAACGGCCUACCAAGGCUACGAUCAGUAGGGGGUGUGAGAGCAUGACCCCCCANAUGGGUACUGAGACACGGACCCAACUCCUACGGGAGGCAGCAGUAAGGAAUAUUGGACAAUGGACGAAAGUCUGAUCCAGCCAUGCCGCGUGAAGGACGAAGGCGCUCAGCGUUGUAAACUUCUUUUGGAUGGGGGACAAACCACUCGAUUUAUCGGGUGCUGAGGGUACCAUCAGAAUAAGCACCGGCUAACUCCGUGCCAGCAGCCGACGG
rnacentral:rRNA from 1 species